UACGAAGGGAGCUAGCGUUGUUCGGAAUCACUGGGCGUAAAGCGCACGUAGGCGGAUGAGUCAGUCAGGGGUGAAAUCCCAGAGCUCAACUUCGGAACUGCCUUUGAUACAGCACGUCUUGAGUCCGAUAGAGGUGGGUGGAAUUCCUAGUGUAGAGGUGAAAUUCGUAGAUAUUAGGAAGAACACCGGUGGCGAAGGCGGCCCACUGGAUCGGUACUGACGCUGAGGUGCGAAAGCGUGGGGAGCAAACAGG
rnacentral:rRNA from 1 species